CGGCGGACAGCAGCAUGGCCGCUGCAGCAGAGAGGAGACACCGGCUGGAUCCACCCCGCCCUCCCCGUCCUUUCCGCGGCUGAACGCUGAGACCCCACCCUGAUCUGAUGGGGGUGGGGUUGACAGCUGGGACCCCAGGCAGAAAGAAAGGACACACCCUUCACUGAAACCACUGAAGCAUUAAUGACAAGGUGUGCAAACAAGAGAGAGAAAAGAGAAAACAGCCUUUAAUAAAAAAUAGAUCAGGAAACAGGAGAUGAUGGUGAAUUUCACAUCAUUCAAUGUGAUGAUAAAUCUUUAUUUCUAAAGAUUUAUAUAAGAUUUAUAUAAUUUAUAUAAUGCCUUAUUUAUUUAAAUUGUGAUUAUAUUCUUUGCUUAGUCCAGUUAAUUUCAAUAAAACCAAAAUAACUCAGUGCUGUCCCCUGCUGGUAGCAAUUAUUUGCAAAAGUUGCUCAUUUUUGCAAAGAAUCAAAUGUUAAAGUCUUUAACAAUAAAACACACAAUUUUCUCAUUUUUAAAAAUUGUUUAAUCUCAAACCCAAAAAACAAAAGAUGGUACAUUGUUAUAAAAACAAAACAAAAACACGAAUUCACAAAAACGGAGCACCAAGCAGAGUUUUAAUGGAACAAUUUGAUUUUUUUUUUUUUUUUAAAAGACUGACAUCAAGGUAAACCAUCACACAUCAAUCAGAGGAUUCACAGAUGGUUUAUAACUCAUACAACAGAAUAAUGAGGAGAUACAGAUUGUUCCUUUAGGUCUCAUUUCUUUCACAAAGAUACCUUUGAAGAGAAAAAAUGCUAUUUGGUCAAAUGCUGCACAGAACAUGUUCCACUUCACACAAAAACACCUUCUGGUUUUAAUGACACUGAAAUCUGAGCUUCUCUCUGAACUAAAGCACCAAGUUACAUGAGAACUUUUUAAAAAAAUAAAUAAAUACACACUUGCCAUUCAGCUAGAGCAGAUUUCUGCCACUGACAAUAAAAAUGCUCUUGCUAAUAACAAAAAUGAAGCACCAAUGUAAUCCCUAGGAAGGAAUUGUAAACUUUAUUCUAAUUUAACACACAAGCAGAAGAAAGCAGAAGAAUGUAGGAUGUGUUUGUAUGAGGCUUUAACUGCAAAAGUGAAAACUUGAAGAAACAAUGACUAUUAAAAAAAGUUAUCCAAACCAACUUCCCCAGCUGUUAUCCCCUUAUUAAAACAUAAAAUUAACUUGAUUAACCAAAGUUUUUGGCUUAGUUUCACAAACCACACAGAGGCCUAAUUAUUACCUCUUUAUUCAAGUAAAUAAAUCACUUGAAUAUAAUCCAUUUCACAACAUAAACAAGACAUCAAGAAG